rnacentral:rRNA from 1 species
GAUGAACGCUGGCGGCGUGCCUAAUACAUGCAAGUCGAGCGAACAGACGAGGAGCUUGCUCCUCUGACGUUAGCGGCGGACGGGUGAGUAACACGUGGAUAACCUACCUAUAAGACUGGGAUAACUUCGGGAAACCGGAGCUAAUACCGGAUAAUAUAUUGAACCGCAUGGUUCAAUAGUGAAUGACGGUUUUGCUGUCUCUUAUAGAUGGAUCCGCGCCGCAUUAGCUAGUUGGUAAGGGAACGGCUUACCAAGGCAACGAUGCGUAGCCGACCUGAGAGGGUGAUCGGCCACACUGGAACUGAGACACGGUCCAGACUCCUACGGGAGGCAGCAGUGGGGAAUCUUCCGCAAUGGGCGAAAGCCUGACGGAGCCACGCCGCGUGAGUGAUGAAGGUCUUCGGAUCGUAAAGCUCUGUUAUUAGGGAAGAACAAAUGUGUAAGUAACUAUGCACGUCUUGACGGUACCUAAUCAGAAAGCCACGGCUAACUACGUG